AUGGCGCCGGCGUACCUGGCGACCAUCCCCGCGCUCCGGCGCGCGGCGCGGUGGGCCCCGUUGGCUCUGUUCUCUUCGGGGAUCGUCGCCGGCGACAAGCCCGUUCUGGUGCGCGAUUUCGUGAGGUCGGCGCUCUACGACCCCAACCACGGCUACUUCUCCAAGCGGUCGGGGCCCGUCGGCGUGCUCGACUCCGCCAUCCGCUUCCACAAGCUCGACGGGAGGACUGCGUACAUGAAGCAUCUUGAUAAGCUGUAUAAGAUGCAUGAUAUCUCUUGGUUCACUCCAGUGGAGCUUUUUAAGCCAUGGUAUGCCUAUGCAAUAGCUGCGUCAAUCCUUCGCACGGCUAAUCUUUCAGUCCCAUUGAAGAUAUUUGAAAUCGGAGGUGGAUCCGGGACAUGUGCAAAGUGCGUACUUGAUUACAUGAUGUUAAAUGCUCCGCCAAAAGUCUACAAUAAUAUGAAGUACAUCUCAGUAGAGAUUAGCUCCUCCCUUGCUGAAAAGCAGUUGGAAACUGUCGGUGAAGUUCAGAGCCAUUUGUCAAAGUUCACAGUGGAGCAUCGUGAUGCAACUGACAUAGCUGGAUGGGGCAGCAAGGAUCCUCAACCAUGCUGGGUGCUAAUGCUUGAGGUACUUGACAAUCUACCUCAUGACCUUGUCUAUUCACCAGAUCAGGUCUCUGCAUGGAUGGAGGUGUGGAUUGAAAAAGUAAAUGGCAGUUCACAAGUCUGUGAGGUCUACAAACCAUUGCAAGACCCAUUAGUUUCCCGCUGCAGUGAGAUUGUUGGCAUGAAUGAAGAGAAUCCAUCGUUGAGAGAAAAACUAUCAUUCGCUGCAAAAGGACUCGUCUCAAAAGUAUUCCCGAAGCCUCGGAGAGCUUGGUUACCAACCGGAUGUUUGAAACUACUGGAUACCUUGCAUCAAGCUUUGCCAAGUAUGUCCCUUAUUGCUUCAGACUUCAGUUAUCUUCCUGAUGUUAGCAUACCUGGCGAUAGAGCUCCAUUGGUUUCUUCAAAGAAGGAUGGGAAAACCUUGGAUCAUCCCAACUAUCUUGAUGCACAGGGCGAUGCAGAUAUCUUCUUCCCAACCGAUUUCUUGCUGUUGGAGCAGAUCGACCACCACUGCUCUGGUUUCUUGAAGGACCAGAUGAACCGUGGUGCAUUUAAACCAGUGAAGAGCAGGAGAACAAUCAUACUUGAUUCGGCUGCCUUCAUGGAGGAGUUUGGGCUGCCACUGAAGACGAGGACCAAAGAUGGAUACAAUCCACUUCUUGAUGAUUUCAGGAACACAAAGUUCUAUCUUAGUGUGCCUACCCACAACAAGUAG
rnacentral:rRNA from 1 species